rnacentral:rRNA from 1 species
UACAGAGGUCUCAAGCGUUGUUCGGAUUCAUUGGGCGUAAAGGGUGCGUAGGUGGCGCGCUAAGUCAGGUGUGAAAUCUCGGAGCUUAACUCCGAAACUGCAUUUGAUACUGGCGUGCUUGAGGACUGGAGAGGAGACUGGAAUUCACGGUGUAGCAGUGAAAUGCGUAGAUAUCGUGAGGAAGACCAGUGGCGAAGGCGGGUCUCUGGACAGUUCCUGACACUGAGGCACGAAGGCCAGGGAGCAAACGGG